ACGAAUGGGGAUACAUUCGCCCGGGUGACCAUUAGAAUGUGGAAUCUGUUUUUGUACAUCAAGUGUUACGAAACGAAGCAAAAAAGUUUUCAUAUUCUUGCGGUCAACCGGGUGGUCUGGCAACACUACAAAG
rnacentral:precursor_RNA from 11 species